rnacentral:lncRNA from 1 species
AUAAAGAAAAUCAAAACAAAUUUAAAAUACAUAAAUAUUUUAUUCUGUAUAUAUUUACAUAAAUAUUUUAUUCUGUAUAUAUUUGAAUUUUAUUUUAUUUACAUUAAAUAGGUGUGGAUUGUAAGCGUUAACUAACUAUUUCAAAGCACGAUAGUGUUCAUUGGUUUCAAUCUGACUCAGCCCACCUAGAUGUUAGGUUUAUUGUUUGGCCUCUUGCUGUUAGGUUGACUAUGGACCCCAACCCCACUCAACUUAUUGGGCUCACCCAAUUCAACUU